rnacentral:lncRNA from 1 species
CAUGUGUUAAGUAACAUAUCAAUAAGGGUUAGAAAAGAAAGCAAAGGGGUAAACAAAAAUCACAAAGGUGUGGAACAAAAUAAAAAUAAAUUCUAAUGACGGCUAGGGUUUAUAUGAAAAAAAGAUAAAAAAGGUAAAGUGAAGAAUAACCAAGAAUUAAUUAUUCUCGGGAGAAAUUGCAGCGGAAUUAUGUUUCAAGGUGGAUACCAUGGCUCUGAUACCAUGUUGAAAUUUGGGGAAUUUAGGUUAAAGGAUAGGAGAAAAUAAUAAGG